AGACACGAGGUUAGAAGAGGCUCUACAAUGCAGAGCUAGUUGUGCUAAAGUAUAAAAAUCUAUUUUUAUAACAGGAGAAUGAAUUAAGGGCAUCAAAAUCUCAAGAAAGGGUUACACUGUCUUGGUCAUCAAGCGAGCACAAGAAGACCCAUUGAAAAGGUGGAGGGGGCGUGGUCAGGGGUCAGGGGCUCGAGCUGAGGCAGAGUAACAGCUCAAAGGAAGAAGCAGGCAUGGAGGUACUCGUACAUCUCUCCAGGUUGUUGGUCCAAGUUUGGUUCAUCUGGGUCACGGUCUGGUUUCCUUCCUCCCAGCAGACUGAGCCGGCUGGGCAGACCCCCACCGUCUCAUUCCAGAAAGUCUGGAAGAAAGACACACGUGUGUGAGCACAUGCAGAGAUCACACGCCCUCCUAAACCUGAACUCCUUGGUUACAUUAUGUAAAUGUCAGAGCCAUGAUGUCCUUCAUGUUCCUGUUCUUACCGUGUUCAUUUCAGUCUUGCACCAUCUUUUGAUCAGACUCUUGUUCCUGGCCUCUGGCACUCCGGUUGCAAUGUCAGCGAUGACAGUUUUGUCCAGCUAAGACAAAUAAAGUUUACUUUUUUCUUAAUUCAA